rnacentral:rRNA from 1 species
UGCGAAUGGCUCAUUAAAUCAGUUAUCGUUUAUUUGAUAGUACCUUACUACUUGGAUAACCGUGGUAAUUCUAGAGCUAAUACAUGCUAAAAAUCCCGACCUCUGGAAGGGAUGUAUUUAUUAGAUAAAAAACCAAUGCCUUCGGGCUUCUUGGUGAUUCAUGAUAACUUUACGAAUCGCAUGGCCUUGUGCUGGCGAUGGUUCAUUCAAAUUUCUGCCCUAUCAACUUUCGAUGGUAGGAUAGUGGCCUACCAUGGUUUCAACGGGUAACGGGGAAUUAGGGUUCGAUUCCGGAGAGGGAGCCUGAGAAACGGCUACCACAUCCAAGGAAGGCAGCAGGCGCGCAAAUUACCCAAUCCCGACACGGGGAGGUAGUGACAAUAAAUACUGAUACAGGGCCCUUUUGGGUCUUGUAAUUGGAAUGAGUACAAUUUAAACCCUUUAACGAGGAACAAUUGGAGGGCAAGUCUGGUGCCAGCAGCCGCGGUAAUUCCAGCUCCAAUAGCGUAUAUUAAAGUUGUUGCAGUUAAAAAGCUCGUAGUUGAACUUUGGGUCUGGGUGACUGGUCUGCGUCUACCGCAUGUACUGGAAACCCGGAUCUUUCCUUCUGGAGAACCGCAUGCCCUUCACUGGGUGUGCCGGGGAACCAGGACUUUUACUUUGAAAAAAUUAGAGUGUUCAAAGCAGGCAUUUGCUCGAAUACAUUAGCAUGGAAUAAUAAAAUAGGACGUGCGGUUCUAUUUUGUUGGUUUCUAGGACCGCCGUAAUGAUUAAUAGGGAUAGUCGGGGGCAUCCGUAUUCGAUUGUCAGAGGUGAAAUUCUUGGAUUUUUCGAAGACGAACUACUGCGAAAGCAUUUGCCAAGGAUGUUUUCAUUAAUCAGGAACGAAAGUUGAGGGAUCGAAGACGAUCAGAUACCGUCGUAGUCUCAACCAUAAACUAUGCCGACUAGGGAUUGGGCGACUGUGUUUUUUGAGUUGCUCAGCACCUUACGAGAAAUUAAAGUUUUUGGGUUCUGGGGGGAGUAUGGUCGCAAGGCUGAAACUUAAAGGAAUUGACGGAAGGGCACCACCAGGAGUGGAGCCUGCGGCUUAAUUUGACUCAACACGGGGAAACUCACCAGGUCCAGACACAUUAAGGAUUGACAGAUUGAGAGCUCUUUCUUGAUCAUGUGGGUGGUGGUGCAUGGCCGUUCUUAGUUGGUGGAGUGAUUUGUCUGCUUAAUUGCGAUAACGAACGAGACCUUAACCUGCUAAAUAAGCUGGGCUCGCUUUCGCGGGUUCUUGGC